CUGUGUCUCCCUUGUUCAUCUUGUCAGGUCAGUGUGGAUGUGAGAUGGGUUGUGGAUAUUCCUCAACGACCAGCACGGCUGGAGGAGGUCCAGGCGAAGCCCCCAAAGAAGAAGUCACAGAGGAGUCUGCACAAGAAGAAGAAAAAAGGAUGAACUAUGGAGGUGUGUAUGUGGGACUACCAGCAGACCUGAGCAUUAUGCCUCCUAUCCAGAUGGGAACACACCAAGAUGAGUGAAGCAUCAUUGAAACACCUUUCACUAAAGGUAUGAUGUCAACAGCUCCGAUCUCAAUAUCAGAUGUCAAUAUCCUAUGUUAAACUCUCUGCCUCAAUCUCAGAAGUUCAUCUUUUGGGACUCUCACACCCACUACAGAGAGGGAGAGAGAGAACCUUCAGGAUAAUGAUGAUGUCAACAAGAAUGAAGGAAUGAAUUGUUCUCUUUGAUCUCUGAUUGGCACCAUGGGACCCAGUAGAACCCCUGGGGGACCAAUCAUCUCCCUCUCUCGCGCCAUAGGAACUGAACUGGGAUCAGUUUCUAAGGUGAGUAAUCAGACAAUGGGUCAUAUGCUCACCAUGGAUGUGACUGCUCAGGAGUCAGCGUUGUGUUUAAUAGGCACAAAACAGAAGAAAAAAGUCUAAAACUCAAUGAAAGGGAGAGGUACUUGUCCAAUAAGAAAUACUUAUUUUCAUUUGGGUUCCACAAAAUUUGAAAACAGGCACCUUAAUGAACACGACCCAGGUCAAAGGGCAUCACGGAUGUUGGAGUCGGCAUUCACCACUCAGGAUCAUGAGACAAGACAACCUUCUACUCAGAACUAAAUGUCAGACGGGAUCAGAUAGGCCUAUUCAGAUCUCCGCAAUACCAGGAAACAAAACAAGACCUCUCUCAGAACUCCUAUUCAAAUAUUUCUUGAUUUUCUCUCUCUGUCUCUGAGUCAAUAGUUCUCAGAAAUUCUCUCUAUAGGAGCUGGAUCAAAUGUUCCCCAUUGUAUCAUUGGUCGAAUAGAGAAUAAUCUUUCUUCACUCAAUAUGUAGCAUAUGUAUUUGGAGCAUCAAUAUGUAGGCAUAUGUAUUUGGAGCAUCAAUAUGUAGCAUAUGUAUUUGGAGCAUCAAUAUGUAGGCAUAUGUAUUUGGAGCAUCAAUAUGUAGCAUAUGUAUU